rnacentral:rRNA from 1 species
UACGUAGGGUGCAAGCGUUGUCCGGAAUUAUUGGGCGUAAAGAGCUCGUAGGCGGCUUGUCACGUCGGCUGUGAAAACCUGGGGCUCAACCCCGGGCCUGCAGCCGAUACGGGCAAGCUAGAAUUCGGUAGGGGAGACUGGAAUUCCUGGUGUAGCGGUGGAAUGCGCAGAUAUCAGGAGGAACACCGGUGGCGAGGGCGGUUCUCUGGGCCUUACCUGACGCUGAGGAGCGAAAGCGUGGGGAGCGAACAGG